GGGACGGACAGCCGCGCAAGGUGCGCCGAAAGGCCUCUUGUGAGGAAAGUCCGGGCUCCGCAGGGCAAGGAUAACGGGUAACACCCGCCCAAGGCGACUUGAGGAAAAGUGCAACAGAGAUAUACCGCCGCGCAUUGCGCGGUAAGGGUGGAAAGGCGAGGUAAGAGCUCACCCAUCGGCACGGAAGCGCCCGAUGCUGUAAACUCUAUCCGGAGCAACACCGUGGAGGAAGCGCAUGGUCUGCCCGACCGCUUCCGAGGAGGUGGCUUGAGCGGCGCGGCAACGCGCCGCCAAGAUAGAUGGCUGUCAAGACAGAACCCGGCUUACAGUCCCAAUC
rnacentral:RNase_P_RNA from 1 species